AUCACUUUGCACUUACUCUUGUUCAAGUUUCACUUACUCGUUUCACAUGCACUUUCUAUAUAUAUAUAUAAUAACCUUCUUCAUAUACCUUUCACAAUCGUCAUCUCUCACCUCUGAAAGCAUGACUAACAACAAGAGCAAGCACGAGGCAAUACCUCAAGACAAAGAUCUUCCGGGAUCACCGGAAGAUCGUACAUGAGUAUGAUGAACUUGGGCGAGAGGAGAGAUCGAGAAGUUGACCAAGUUGAAAACAUAGGUCUUCUUGGUCAACGGUAGCCACACUAGUCCCAUUAUGUAUCUUUCUCUCUGACCGGGCAAUUUCGGAAUCUUUGGCAAUGUUUCUCUGGGUAUCUAUUUUUGUUACUGUUUCUUGUCUAUCGGUUUGUAGUAAAUCUUCUUGUUAUCGUUUUGUGAACGGAAUAUAUAUUUUAUAAUGCUUUUUUUUUCUU